AUUGAACGCUGGCGGCAUGCCUUACAUAUGCAAGUCGAACGGCAGCAUGAUCUAGCUUGCUAGAUUGAUGGCGAGUGGCGGACGGGUGAGUAAUACAUCGGAACGUGCCCUGUAGUGGGGGAUAACUAGUCGAAAGAUUAGCUAAUACCGCAUACGACCUGAGGGUGGAAGUGGGGGACCGCAAGGCCUCAUGCUAUAGGAGCGGCCGAUGUCUGAUUAGCUAGUUGGUGAGGUAAAGUCUCACCAAGGCGACGAUCAGUAGCUGGUCUGAGAGGACGAUCAGCCACACUGGGACUGAGACACGCCCCAGACUCCUACGGGAGGCAGCAGUGGGGAAUUUUGGACAAUAGGCGAAAGCCUGAUCCAGCAAUGCCGCGUGUGUGAAGAAGGCCUUCGGGUUGUAAAGCACUUUUGUCCGGAAAGAAAUGGCUCUGGUUAAUACCUGGGGUCGAUGACGGUACCGGAAGAAUAAGGACCGGCUAACUACGUG
rnacentral:rRNA from 1 species